UCGCCAGGGCAACGGACGCCAGGUCCCGACUCCUGCUUCCCGGAGCGGCUCGCCGGAGGCGCCCCGCCCUUAGGCAUGGCCGAGGACGCGCCCAGAACGCAGCAGUGCUGGAAGCUGGUCAGGAACCUCGAGGCCGCUAUUCAGCAGUUCCAGUGCCACCCCAGGUGACCCGCUUGCGCAGCCCUGCCAGGCAGCUCGAGGCCUGGGCGCUACAGCUUCGCGACUUAAGCGGCCGACUCCGGAGCUCAAUCGCCAGGGUCCAAAUCCUGCCCAUCCUCUCCCAGGGACUGAGUUGGGCAAGAAAUACCAUUUCAGAUGAUCUGAAAGUUGGCUUUUUCACCACAGACCAUGCUACUCAAACACAUGCCAGUGAAAUUUUGCCUCUGAAAGAGCUGAGUGCAUCUACACAACAGUUAGUGCAGUUUUUAGGUUGUUACAUCCCUUCAGGUGGAUUUUAGGUUCCUUAAAGAAUUGGUUCAAUUGAAGUUUGAGGAACGACUUACAGAGGAGUCUUCUGAUAUCUCCAUCGCUCUAUAUGACAGGAUCCUAGAGAUGGAAAAACACAGCCCACAGAAUGAGGAGAACAUGAGAAAAUGCUUUCAGCAGCAGUUAGCUGAUGCCAUUGCUGUCAUCAAAGGGAUGUACCAGCAAUUCUUUGAUGUAGAGGAAGAGGAAACUACUUUGCACGAUGCAGAAAAUGUCGAAUUGGGUUUUUUGUCAAGAAAGCUGAGAGAGAAGGAAGAAAUUAUUAAAGAAUUAAGAGAAGAACUAGAUCAUUGUGAAGGAUUUCAAAAACUUGACUCUUUUGUGGAGACCAGCUCUUCCAAAUCAACCUUAGAAAGGGAGAAUUGGGAUCACAAAACAGAAUAUGAGAAACUGCUCAAAGUUGUGGCAGAACUUGAAGAAGAACUCAAACUCAAUAUAAAAGAAAAUUCAGCGUUAGAAGAUGAACUUAGAAGUCUGAAAGAGAUUUCAGAACAGCAUCAGAGAACCAUUCAAAAGGUACUGUAAUGUUGAUAAAUGACCUUUUAAAAAUUGAAAUAUCAGCAUCAUUGAUGGAAUAACACUGUGUCUGGCCUGUCUUGGGAUGAAGGGGAAAGUUGGCUUAUAUAUUUUCCAGUUAUAUAAGUGUUGUCAUACAUUUCCUUGUUAUUUUGCGUAGAGUAGCUGAUAAUGAAUAAGAAUUUGGUCUUGCAAACUCCUUGGUAUAGAGAUACUUCUUUUAGGUGGGAUAACUGAGCAUCUACCUUGUGGAUGCUAAAGAACUCAGAAGCUAGUGACACAAGAAAGUCCAAAGAUGUGCUUGUAGUUGUGGGGGAAUUAUACUUUUAAGAACAAGUAGGCUCGUUUUCUGGUCAGACGUUGGUAGAUGUUGGCUGAUGUUGGUUUCUCUGUACAUGAAUGAAUUCAGCUUAUGUGAUCUGGUAA
rnacentral:lncRNA from 1 species